rnacentral:misc_RNA from 1 species
GAUGAAGAACGCAGCGAAAUGCGAUAAGUAAUGUGAAUUGCAGAAUUCAGUGAAUCAUCGAAUCUUUGAACGCACAUUGCGCCCCUUGGUAUUCCAUGGGGCAUGCCUGUUCGAGCGUCAUUUGUACCUUCAAGCUCUGCUUGGUGUCGGGUGUUUGUCUCGCCUCUGCGUGUAGACUCGCCUCAAAACAAUUGGCAGCCGGCGUAUUGAUUUCGGAGCGCAGUACAUCUCGCGCUUUGCACUCAUAACGACGACGUCCAAAAGUACAUUUUUACACUCUUGACCUCGGAUCAGGUAGGGAUACCCGCUGAACUUAAGCAUAUCAAUAAGCGGAGGA